GGAGGGUGCAAGCGUUAAUCGGAAUUACUGGGCGUAAAGCGCGCGUAGGUGGAUAUUUAAGUCGGAUGUGAAAGCCCCGGGCUCAACCUGGGAACUGCAUUCGAUACUGGGUAUCUAGAGUAUGGUAGAGGGAAGUGGAAUUUCUGGUGUAGCGGUGAAAUGCGUAGAUAUCAGAAAGAACAUCAGUGGCGAAGGCGACUUCCUGGACCAAUACUGACACUGAGGUGCGAAAGCGUGGGGAGCAAACAGGGAUUAGAGACCCUGGUAGUCCACGCCGUAAACGAUGAGAACUAGACGUUGGGAUCCAUUGGGUCUUAGUGUCGAAGCUAACGCGUUAAGUUCUCCGCCUGGGGAUACGGCCGCAAGGUUA
rnacentral:rRNA from 1 species